CUAUGUGCGAUUACUAUAGCUACAAGUGGAAAGUGAAAGGUCUAUUUUAACAUAGCGAUAACCCAUAAUUAUAGGUUUCGUAGUAAUCAAUUAUCUACUUCAGGAUGUAAAGGGGAAAACAAGUAUGAGGUGAUUACAUCGAGUGUCAACAACGCUAAUUACACUGUAACUACUUUCCACGUGUGAAAAUAAUUAUCAUAUAGUAGAUAUAACCAUUAUUCACUUUUUUAAAUUCAUUUUUCCGUAUACAGAUAAUCUUAUUAAAUAUCAAACUUCGGAUAUCUCAUACAAAGUUAAGUGUAUAUAUAACUAAAAAUUGUUACUCCGAUAAAAAUCAUUAUAAAUUGCAUUUAUAAUGUACUUCAUUCGUAAUGUUUUAUGUACCAUUGUUUUAGUAUAUUGUAUCGUAAGAGAUUUCCUGAAGCGUUUUUUAAACAAUCAGCUUACAAACAAAAGGAAGGAUGAUUUUUGUGCGGUAAUUUUUCGCUAUGCACGCAAAUAAUUCCAUAAUCGAUGGGAGGUCAAUAUCACGGACGUAGGUUCUUGUGAACGUGAUCGCUUUCGUCAUUUAUAGCGUAUAGCUGAUAUCUGGCGAGUUAUGAAACGUGGGGGCAUCUAGGUGGCACGGGGACAGAAACAGCGUCGCCCGCCGCUCGGUUGGUCAUCGUCGACGCAAUAACGCGGACUCAGCAACUGAUAAGCAAUCCCGCACGUUAAUGGCUCGCGCUCACGACUUGGCAAAAAGCCAGUGCGUGUUGGCGGAAUGAGAAUCUUACAGCCACGUCCAUUCAUUUUCUUCUUCUAUCUCUUUCUCUCUGUGUUAGACGUAACACAUUGGAUUAAGUGCUAUCUUUACAAACUUUUACUCAUCUUCACACUCAGGCGCCAAGCACAUCUUCAACGUUUAUUCACUUCUAUGCUCGUUUAUCUCUAAUUAGUGUCGAUUACGGUGCUUUAUUUCUUUGCAAUCACUUCUUAGUAUUGUCCCUAAAACAUCAUGAAUAUUUUUUAAAUUGAUAAAUAUAUAUCGAUAAACAUUUUCACUUAAUUGAUGUAUGUGAAAUAUUGCUUUCGUUAAUUAAUAAUUAGAGAGGUGGAUAUUUUUAAAGAUUAAUUUUUUUUAUAACAUUUCAAUAACAUUUUUGUUCCAAAGACAUUCUUUGAGUAGAUAGUUAAUAUAGUUCAUACUCGUUAAUUUAUAUAGGAUAAUAUAUUAUUGUAACAUAAAUGAAAUGGUAAAUAUGAAUUUUAAAUACUCCUGAGAAAGAAAAUAUUUUUUACGAUAUAUACGAUAUCUAUUUAAGAUAUUUUCACGGAACAGUCAACGUUAGCCAUCUUCGUGUUUCAGAAGCUAUGCCUGUUGCAGUUACAGUAGUUUUGUCUACCAGAAAGUAGUGAGAAUUUUUACGGACGAUUUGCACGGAUUAUACCAGCCUGACAAGAUGAUUAAAAAGACCUGCGCGUUCGCUUUAGCAUAGCGUGACCCCUUUUUGGCACAGUAAAUCCCGCAGCUUCUUAUUCCACCCUUUCAGAAAAAAGUUUGCCCACCCCUCGGUUAACUGGUAAACGCCUCGAGCUGUCUGCACGCGCACCUGCUAUGUAUAUCGCCCAGCCGUUUCUUACCACGCGACCACGACUUAUGUCCUCUACUGAUAGAUAACUUUACAGAGCAAAGAGAAUAUUGUUGCAUUUCGAUGGAACAAUAUUGGACGAACUAUUAAAAAAGAAAAAUUCUUGAUUUUCUUUCUGAUUACCAUGCAGUCUCACACGUGACUUGAUCUUGGAAUAAGACGGAUGCGUGAGGCGAUUGCGUUAUGUUCAUGGAUUCACGAUCCGUUCGCAACAUAGAUUUCUCGUCGAACAGACGCAAGAUGGUUCAGGAUUUACGAUUGUUCGAUGGCACUCUCGGAUAGGAUUUUCUAUAAACUCUCUUUAAGUAUACGAAAGUCAAUAUAUUCUUAUGAAGAGCAAUCAUGUUCGCUGGUACUCUGUUACUUAUAUUGCAAUACGUAAUGUAAUAAUUACGUCAACGUUUCUACAUUAACUUAGUUUAAACUACAUUGCCAAAGACGAACUUCUGAAAUUUUUCCACGGUACAAUCGAUUCCAACAGUAGUAAUCGAAAAACUAUUCUUCAGGUAGAAAAUAAAUUUUUUCCAUAAAUUUUCUCGGAUACAGAACAGUUGGAUGAACAAUUUUCGAGGUAGAAACCGUGAAGACGUUUCGAUGCUGCAAUUUGUAAGACAAAUGCGUUGUUCACCUAACCAUCUGUUAAGUAUGUUUCGUCGUGAGAUAUGUUCAGAUCCGACGAUCGAGGGUUACAGAUCGCCAACGAUGGGUAGCCUUUACCGUAUCAUCUCUCUCUCUCCUUUCUCUCUCCCUUCUCUCCACCUCUCUCUUUUCUUUUUUCACGAGGAAACACGGGCGUAGAGACAGGGUGGAGACCCGAAUCCUGAAGCAGUGGACCGUGAAUGCGAUACCAGGUUUGCCAUGCCUCGGUGUGGGGGUGGUACCGUCAAACAACCGUUCGUCGACCAUCCCUUCGUAGUGCAAAUCCCAUCCUCUGCAGGUCACUUCCCGGACUGUGAACGACGUCAAAGUGAACGGACAUCGCGAAUAUGCACGAGACAGUGCUUUGCGCUUUCCGCCUUCGAAACAAAGGAACAAACGUGCAGCAAGAAGAUAAGAGAUAGAGUGAGGAAAUAAACAAACGAUAUGGCGAGGUUUACUUUUCAACGUCUUAAUUAAUUCCGUUGCAAGAAGGUAGCAAAAGUUUCUAAACUGAUGUUUUUUUUAAAAUGUACAUACCUUCAAAAGCAAGACUACUAAUCACAGCUGCGAUAAUAAAGAAGUUAUGCAAAUUCUAAUACUUAUUCAUAACAUAACUUUAUACGAUUACGUCUCAUCAUCUGUAAGCAACGAGCGUGACAUAUAGAUAUAAACACAUGGCAGCUUUGAAGACACGUGCUACUUCUGUCAUUGUUUAGAAAAACUGAGGCGUUAGCGAUUACAAAAGAAAUGUAGAUUAGAAGAAUAGUUCCGGCAUCAUCACCACAUGAAAUGCACCUGACACAGGAGUUAACCGUGAGAUUAGAAUGCGUCAAGUUGUAUGUUAGCCCCCAUUCGAAGACACAAAGCUGCCUGUUAAACCGGUAGAGCAAGGUAUAGAACCGCUAGUGACCGACCAGUUACGUUAGACUGAACGAAAAGUGGAGUACUAAUUCCUUACUGUCUACUAAGAAAUUCAAGAUUCAUUGACGUCAGCUUGAUCUUGAUGCUCCAGCACUCUCUGACGAUUAACCCAUAGCCCGAAAGUAGGAGGAACAAAAUUCGUCGAAGCCGCACGUCAGUCACAAAAUUCAUCCUCCAGCGAUAAAGUUCGAGGAGUGAAAGAAAAGGUGGCUCUCCUUACGGAUACAACUUACAAGCUACAAUUCUGUGGCUACGAAGCGGCUACACCCUUUUACGAACGCGCGGCUCAACCACUCAUGGACCGACCAGUUUCGCCCCGAGUGGCAAGUGUGGCGGGAAUUAUGCAAUUAUUGCAUUGCGCUCGCAAUUGUCGCGGAAAACGGCGACUGCCUGAAUGGCCUGAGUGUCUAAGGGGUAACGGGGCAAGAAAGGGGGAUUUCCUCGUCGUUUUACUACCGACAUUUCCCCGUACGUUUCGUUCUCUGUUUCAAUUCAUUCCCGUUGGCCGCAAUCACGACCACGAAUCCGAGAUAAAUACGAUUUUAAUUUACUUUCGAGCGUAUGAAGUAUUGAAAGAUCCGCUCGAAUAACAAAAUAGGCGUUCGCAGGGAAUAUAGUAUAACAUAAUAUUUUUAAAGUAGAAUUGUAAAAUUGGUAUAUACAUGGGAGUUUCGGCAAACUAUUGUAAAUCGAAAUUUCACUAGAUUCCUGUAUGCGUCGGUUUCUCACGAUUUCCAAGGGAAAGCCAGCCGCUCGGAUGCGACAUUAGUCAAUCAAGUUGAUGUAUCGCGUGAUGGUCUUGAAUCUAAAAUGCAACUAAACCUGACGAACAUUAACAAACGUCCAAAUAUUUUCUGUAUCAUUAUAGAAACGGCUUGUACGAGAAAUUAGAUAGACAUCUACCGCAACGGUAGUUGAUUUUCAUCAAGAGUUCAAAGCUUGACCAAUAAAAGAAAAAAGAAAAAAUCCUGGGUAUCUCUGUUAAUAAAGACGCCAAUCUUUUUGAUGUAUAGGUCACGGACAAAGACACAUCUAUGCGGGUACAAUAUAGAUUAUAACCGUGCACGUAUACACUCAGCGUUGGCCAUUUAGGAUAUCUAUUUGCAUUCGUACACGUUCCUCCAUGGUAUCAUAUAUUUGCACGCACAGCGUUUUGUUGAAUACAGAAAAUAAGCCACGAUUUUAUAUUAGAAAUCUGACAAUGCUUCCAUUAUAAGCUUCUAUAGGCAUUACGGUCCCGUGGAAUUACUCAAAGAUUUGAAUGACUCACUGUUUGCAAUAACUUAGAACUCAAGUGCUCGAUAAAAUCUCAGCGUGUACGGAUGAGUUUUAAUUUCGACGAAAAUAAUUUUAAUCGAUACAGCUUUAUCGUUAUGAGUAUUCGUUAUUCAGCUAAUUUCGUCUGUUACGGAAGAACGUUUUUUGCAGUCAAAUUUCAAGACGUUGAGCCAAAAAAGAAAACGACGAAUGUGGCGAGUAAGCAAAGAAAACAACGCAUCGAAUAUUGCACUCUAUUUUUUAUAUAAGAGUCUACGAAUUCCAUUGUCAGCUGUCUGAUGUCGACAUAAAUCAAGCGAUUGCCACCAAUCAUAUCGAUCUAUACUCUUUUGGCAAUUAAUUCGCCAUCGUGUGUAAUAAUAACGAGCCUGCUUGAUUUGUA